CUUGCACUUCCGAGACGCCUGCAGAGUAGGGCGGCCCGGGCUAACCUGCUGCCUCGCCCGACCUGUCGCCGCCACCGCCACCGCUGAGCGCGGCGUCGCGAGGCAAGAUGGCUUGGAGUCCACGUUUUCAACCUGGAUGCCUACGGUGGUUAGAGGUUUCUAAUUGUGGAUAAAUAUUGACAUCUGCCAAGACUCACCUUUGUUCUAUAGGGAUUUACUCUUAAGAAUCUUAUUGGAAAAAAUAAAUAACGUGUAUAUUGCAAUUGCGCGAAUACACUCGACUAAAA